rnacentral:lncRNA from 1 species
UGUGCAACUGUAUAAUGUUGUUUCAGUUUCUUUCAUCUGCUUUUUUUGUUUGGAAUCAAUUCCAUUGUUGGAUUGUAGUGUUCAUGUUUUGUUGGAAAAACUCAGAUUCUGGUUGCUAGGAGACACCUUAGGAGGUUGAUGAGAAUCUGUGUGAAAUUGUCUGUUAAAGUGAGUGUUGGGAUCAAUGGUUCAGUGGAGGUUUUGUCUAGAGGUCACGUACCUGGUGGUAAGUAUAAUCUGAUAUGGCUUUACGCUCUAUGGUACUGGAGUCAAGGUGAUCUCAUGGAACUUUGUGUGUUUUCUACUCU